rnacentral:misc_RNA from 2 species
AACGCAUCUUGCGCUCCUUGGUAUUCCGAGGAGCAUGCCUGUUUGAGUGUCAUUAAAUUCUGUCAAAACAUGCACUUGAGUGUGUUUUGGAUUGUGGGAGUGUCUGCUGGCUUUAUGAGCCAGCUCUCCUGAAAUACAUUAGCUUUGGGGGGGAGGUGCCAAGUCACUUCUGCCUUUCCAUUGGUGUGAUAGAUGAAUUAACUUAUCUACGCCAGGAAAGCAGGCUUCAGGUGAUGCACUGUGAUCUCUCUCUGCUCUCUAAUUGACAUUUGUCUGAUAACUUGACCUCAAAUCAGGUAGGACUACCCGCUGAACUUAA